GCUGGGCGUGGUGGUGCACGCCUGUAAUCCCAGCUACUUGGGAGGCUGAGACAGGAGAAUUGCUUGAACCCAGGAGGCGGAGGUUGCCGUGAGCCGAGAUCACGCCACUGUGCUCCAACCUGGGCGACAGAGCAAGACUCCAUCUCUU
rnacentral:SRP_RNA from 1 species